rnacentral:miRNA from 1 species
UAUGUGUGUGUGUGUGUGUGUGCGUGUGUGUGUGUGUAUACAUACACACACACACACACACACAUAUAUA